rnacentral:misc_RNA from 1 species
GGAAGUAAAGUCGUAACAAGGUUUCCGUAGGUGAACCUGCGGAAGGAUCAUUAAAGAGAAUAUGCCCUUCGGGGUAGAUCUCCCACCCUUUGUUUAUAUUACCUUUGUUGCUUUGGCAGGCCCGUCUUCGGACCACCGGCUUCGGCUGGUCAGUGCUUGCCAGAGGACCCAAAACUCUUAUUAUUAAUGUCGUCUGAGUACUAUAUAAUAGUUAAAACUUUCAACAACGGAUCUCUUGGUUCUG